GUGCAGCAGGCGCGAAAACUUUACAAUGUGCGAAAGCACGAUAAGGGAACUCUGAGUGCCUCCUAAGGAGGCUGUUCAGGUGUCUAAAAGCACCUGAAGGAAGGGCUGGGUAAGACCGGUGCCAGCCGCCGCGGUAACACCGGCAGCCCAAGUGGUAGCCACGUUUAUUGGGUCUAAAGCGUCCGUAGCCGGCUGGGUAAGUUCCUUGGGAAAUUUGGCUGCUUAACAGUCAAGCUUUCAGGGAAUACUGCCCGGCUUGGGACCGGGAGAGGUCAGAGGUACUCCAGGGGUAGGGGUGAAAUCCAUUAAUCCUUGGGGGACCACCGGUAGCGAAGGCGUCUGACCAGACCGGGUCCGACGGUGAGGGACGAAGGCUAGGGGCGCGAACCGGAUUAGAUACCCGU
rnacentral:rRNA from 1 species